AGUAUUCUUCAUUAAACUACUC
rnacentral:tRNA from 1 species